CAGAUGGCGAGUUGUCAGUUGCCGCGCCUAGCCGCCGCCCGCCCGCCCGCCCGCCGUGACGUCCCCGCUGACGCCUCUCUCCGUUGGACGCGCGCGGUGGAGGCGGUUCGCUGUCGCCGCACGGCUCGUCGUCGACGACCACCACCUACCCCACCGAUGACGCCGUCCGCCACCUGCUUAAACCCGCGGCCUCCACCUCCUCCCCCGCGCGCUUACUUGGAUCGGCGAGAUGGGGUGGAAGGGCAUCCUGGGGUUCGACCACGGCGUUGUGCAGGCGCCGCUCGGGCCCGACAUCUCCGGCCCGGAGCUCGCCGCCGCCGUCGCCAACGCCGGCGGCAUCGGCCUCCUCCGCCUCCCCGACUGGCCGGCGCCGGAUCGCGUGAGGGAUCUGAUACGGAGGACGAGGAGCCUGACGGAGAGGCCGUUCGGGGCGGCCAUUGUGCUGGCCUUCCCGCACGAGGAGAACCUACGGGUGGUGCUGGAGGAGAAGCUCGCCGUGCUGCAGGUUUACUGGGGAGAGUUCCCGAGGGAGCGAGUCGAUGAGGCGCACCUCGCCGGUGUUAAGGUGUUGCAUCAGGUUGGUAGCUUUGAGGAGGCAGCGAAAGCUAAGGAAGCUGGUGUAGAUGGGAUCAUUGUUCAAGGCUGUGAAGCAGGGGGGCAUGUGAUUGGUCAGGAAGGACUGUUACCUUUGCUGCCCAGAGUGGUGGAUCUAGUUUCAGAUACUGACAUUUCAGUUAUCGCCGCUGGUGGAAUUGUAGAUGGCCGUGGCUAUGCUGCUGCAUUGGCACUUGGUGCUCAGGGCGUUUGCUUAGGAACUAGUUCCAUGAACAUUCAGGUUCUUGACCACUGAAGAAAGUUUUGCACAUCCCUUGUAUAAGAAAAGGCUAAUCGAGAUUAAUUGCACGGGCUAUACCAAUGUGUUUGGGCGUGCUAGAUGGCCUGGUGCUCCCCAACGUGUCCUGAAAACAACCUUCUAUGAUCAGUGGAAGAAUCUCCCAGAACAAGAAACAGAGGAAAAUCAACCUAUCAUAGGCCACACUAUCAUCCAUGGUGUGCACAGGGAUAUUCGUCGGUUCGCUGGUACUGUUCCUAAUGCGACAACAACAGGUGAUAUUGAUAGCAUGGUCAUGUAUGCUGGUCAGGGUGUUGGGCUAAUCACAGAGAUCAUACCAGCUAGUGAAGUUGUCAAAAGGUUAGUUUCUGAAGCACAGCACGUCAUCAGAGAAAAGCUUUUGUGAAUUUCCUGUACUGUCCAAGGAGCAGUAAAUACUAUCUGGUUUUUGUAAGCAAGGACCAAUGAAAAUAAAAGAGUCCACCAAGCUGUCCAUUUCCCCAAACAAGUCCACGGUGUUGUUACAUAGUAUAUCUGCAGAAUUACACAGUAUUGAUUGCUUCUACAUCUGUUUGUAAGUAACAACUAUUGAAAUAUAGAUUUUGCAAAUGUAUUCUCUUCUUUCGGCUUCAAUGUUGUACUAGGAGUACAAAGUAUGUCCCCAAAAUUGUACUAGUUGUGUUGCUUUAUUACCAGGACAAGCUGCCCAAACACUAUGAGUAACUGAGUUUAUUACUUCUACA